UUGGAGGGCAAGUCUGGUGCCAGCAGCCGCGGUAAUUCCAGCUCCAAUAGCGUAUAUUAAAGUUGUUGCAGUUAAAAAGCUCGUAGUUGAAUUUCGGGAUCAAUUUAUUGGUCGUGCAAUAGUACGUACUGAUUUUAUUGAUUCCUCUCUUCUGAAGAACUAUGAUGUCAUUAAUUUGGUGUCAUAGGGAAGCAGGACUGUUACUUUGAAAAAAUUAGAGUGUUUAAAGCAGGCUCACGCUUGAAUACAUUAGCAUGGAAUAACGAAAUAGGACGUUUGAUUCUAUUUUGUUGGUUUCUAGGAUCGGCGUAAUGAUUAAUAGGGAUAGUUGGGGGCAUUAGUAUUCAAUUGUCAGAGGUGAAAUUCUUGGAUUUAUUGAAGACUAACUACUGCGAAAGCAUUUGCCAAGGAUGUUUUCAUUAAUCAAGAACGAAAGUUAGGGGAUCGAAGACGAUCAGAUACCGUCGUAGUCUUAACCAUAAACUAUGCCGACUAGGGAUCGGAUGAUGUUAAAUUAAUGACUCAUUCGGCGCCUUACGGGAAAC
rnacentral:rRNA from 1 species